rnacentral:lncRNA from 1 species
AACCAUGAAAAUGUGAUCCCGUGGUGUUUCUAUAUCAACAGCUCCCCCUUAAACUAUGCUCCCCCUUAAUUGAAGAAUUAAGGAGUCUUUGAAUUCUGCAUUUUCGUUAGAGAAACACAACCAGCAAGAAAAUAUCAUAGAAAUCAUAAUUUCUCUUCUUCUCCCCCUUUGUCAUUAACAAAAAGGGUGACACAAGAGAUAAGACAGCCAAGCAAGCAUUCAUA